GACGAACGCUGGCGGCGUGCCUAACACAUGCAAGUCGAACGGAAGUAAGUGCUUCGGUAUUUACUUUAGUGGCGAACGGGUGAGUAACGCGUGAGGAACCUGCCUUUCAGUGGGGGACAACAGUUGGAAACGACUGCUAAUACCGCAUGACGCUUCUUGGGGGCAUCCCUGAGAAGUCAAAGCUUUAGUGUGCUGAAAGAUGGACUCGCGUCCAAUUAGCUAGUUGGUGAGGUAACGGCCCACCAAGGCGACGAUUGGUAGCCGGACUGAGAGGUUGAACGGCCACAUUGGGACUGAGAUACGGCCCAG
rnacentral:rRNA from 1 species